rnacentral:guide_RNA from 1 species
GCAACAAAUAAAACAACAAACAAAGAUAAAAGAUGCAAGUAGAUGGA